rnacentral:misc_RNA from 1 species
GUAGGUGAACCUGCGGAAGGAUCAUUGCAAGUAGAGAUUGUUGGGUGUUGAUUGUGUGGGUUUGGGUGGGUUUGGGUGGGUUGAGGUGGUUGUUGGUGGUUGUUGGUGGGGUGGGUGUUGUUGUUGGUGGUUGUUUGCGGGGCGGGGAAUCGUCCUGCAGUUGCCACAUUGUGUUGUAUAACCACAGCAUCACACACAUCACAUCAUCACAUCAAAUCCACUCACUCACACAUCACCAUAUCACUUAUAU